UCGGGGGUAGCUCAAUCGGUAGAGCAUCUGACUGUUAAUCAGAGGGUUGGCGGUUCGAGUCCGCCCCCCCGAG
rfam:Solirubrobacterales bacterium 67-14 SCNpilot_bf_inoc_scaffold_362, whole genome shotgun sequence.